rnacentral:rRNA from 1 species
CUACGGGUGGCUGCAGUCGAGAAUCUUCGGCAAUGGACGAAAGUCUGACCGAGCGACGCCGCGUGCGGGAUGAAGGCCUUCGGGUUGUAAACCGCUGUCAGAGGGGAUGAAAUUUUGACAAAUCCUCAGAGGAAGGACGGGCUAAGUUCGUGCCAGCAGCCGCGGUAAGACGAACCGUCCAAACGUUAUUCGGAAUCACUGGGCUUAAAGGGUGCGUAGGCGGCUUGGUAAGUUGGGUGUGAAAUCCCUCGGCUCAACCGAGGAACUGCGCUCAAAACUACCAAGCUUGAGGGAGUCAGAGGUGAGCGGAACUCAGGGUGGAGCGGUGAAAUGCGUUGAUAUCCUGGGGAACACCGGUUGCGAAAGCUGCUCACUGGGGCUCUACUGACGCUGAGGCACGAAAGCUAGGGGAGCCAACGGGAUUAGAUACCCGCGUAGUC